ensembl:snRNA U6 U6 spliceosomal RNA
GUGGCUCUCACUUUAGCAGCACAUAUACUAAAAUUGGAAUGAUAAACAAAAGAUUAGCAUGGUGCCUCCUCAAGGAUGACAUACACAUUUGUGAAACAUUCCAUAUAUGU